rnacentral:rRNA from 1 species
CCCUUAGAUGUUCUGGGCCGCACGCGCGCUACACUGAUGCAUUCAACGAGUCCAACCUUGCCCGAGAGGUCCGGGUAAUCUUUGAAACUGCAUCGUGAUGGGGCUAGAUUAUUGCAAUUAUUAAUCUUCAACGAGGAAUGCCUAGUAAGCGUGAUUCAUCAAAUCGCGUUGAUUACGUCCCUGCCCUUUGUACACACCGCCCGUCGCUCCUACCGAUUGAGUGUGUUGGUGAGGAGUUUGGAUUGGCCUCGGAAGGUGGUUCGCCACCGUCCGUAGCUGAGAAGUUCUCCAAACCGCCCCACUUAGAGGAAGGAGAAGUCGUAACA